rnacentral:lncRNA from 1 species
GUUUCACAGGGUCCCGGGAAACCCCAGGCUGAGCCAAGAUGAUGUGCGCGGUGAUGUAAAUUACACACAGGAGCUGGAUCGUGUCGGUCGGAUUCUCUAACAAGUUCAGGCCCAACCAAGGUUCAGAAGUCGUGCCCAAAACGGGGAUUUGAGGGGCUCCCGGUGGCUCAGUUGGUUAAGCAUCCGACUUUUGGUUUCAGCUCAGGUCAUGAUCUCAGGGUCGCGGACUCGCGUGUCCUCAGUGGGGAGUCAGCUUGGGAUUCUCUCUCCCUCUGCCCCUCCCCCCGCUUGCUCACACGCUCUCUGUCUCUCUCAAAUAAAAUCCAUCUUUUAAACAAAAAUAAAAAAGUAAAAGGGGGAUUUGACCUGUCAUUUCAGGGACUUGAGACGACGCGCUGGCAGAGGUCUGAGGGGAUGGCACUGUUUGCGAAGGGCCACCUGGGAUGACCCACCACACGGGGACACCGACCUGGGCGGACCAGCGUGGUCCAUUCUCACGGACUGCGGUGAACAGAAAUAAGACGCAGCAGAUCGGCACACGUCAGAGCCGAGUCCUCGGCCUGGGGCCACCUUGUGUGCAGGACGCUCCCGGCUCUACCCGAAGGCCGGCGGUGCUGCUGUUAGACCGAGCGGCCCGGGACGAGAAGGGAAAGCCUUAGUGACCCACAGCAGACGGUCAAGAAUGGGAGUGCCCAACGCAGAAAGGAACGUCAUGAGAGUUACGUUUCUUUGGUUUAGAGUUUUUUCAGGGGUUUUUUUUGUGUGUUUUUUUUUUUACUGUUUUUCUCCAGCUUUUUUUAAGUGAAAAUUUUCAAACAUACACAAGGGUUGAAAGAGUAGUACAACGAAAACGUGGCCGUCUCUAUGUACAUGUGUGUGUACACAGGAAACAUGUGUGUGUUCACAUAGACAUGAACUAAUGGUCCAUCUUGGAAGUAGCUUACAGAAAUCAAGACAUUUUAUCCCUAAAUAGUUAAGGGUGACUCUCCCUCCACAACCACAAUACCAUGUAACACUG